rnacentral:rRNA from 1 species
AACGUAGGACGCAAGCGUUAUCCGGAGUUACUGGGCGUAAAGCGCGGGCAGGCGGCCCGUUCAGUCUGAGGUGAAAGCGCCCGGCUCAACCGGGCGAGGCCCUUGGAAACUGGCGGGCUGGAGGGCAGUAGAGGCAGGCGGAAUUCCGGGUGGAGUGGUGAAAUGCGUAGAGAUCCGGAGGAACACCAGAGGCGAAGGCGGCCUGCUGGGCUGCACCUGACGCUGAGCCGCGAAAGCCAGGGGAGCAAACGGG